rnacentral:tRNA from 1 species
UCGGUAGACACAAGGGAUUUAAAAUCCCUCGACUUUCGAGUCGUGCCGGUUCAAGUCCGGCCCGGGGCACCA